rnacentral:rRNA from 1 species
CAGUAGCCACGGUAAUACGGAGGGCGCGAGCGUUACCCGGAUUUACUGGGCGUAAGGGGCGUGUAGGCGGCCUGGGGCGUCCCAUGUGAAAGGCCACGGCUCAACCGUGGAGGAGCGUGGGAUACGCUCAGGCUAGAGGGUGGGAGAGGGUGGUGGAAUUCCCGGAGUAGCGGUGAAAUGCGCAGAUACCGGGAGGAACGCCGAUGGCGAAGGCAGCCACCUGGUCCACUUCUGACGCUGAGGCGCGAAAGCGUGGGGAGCAAACCGGAUUAGAUACCCCCGUAGUCCCUGUCUCUUAUCA